UUUUAUGGUGGCCAUGCGUGGGGCUCAUUCGUGAGCGCCGGGGUUUGCUAUCUUGACCGGUCUACCAACCCACGCAUGGCCGCCACCCAU
rnacentral:antisense_RNA from 1 species